AGUGAACGCUGGCGGUAGGCCUAACACAUGCAAGUCGAACGGCAGCACAGUAAGAGCUUGCUCUUACGGGUGGCGAGUGGCGGACGGGUGAGGAAUACAUCGGAAUCUACUUUUUCGUGGGGGAUAACGUAGGGAAACUUACGCUAAUACCGCAUACGACCUACGGGUGAAAGCAGGUGAUCUUCGGACCUUGCGCGAUUGAAUGAGCCGAUGUCGGAUUAGCUAGUUGGCGGGGUAAAGGCACACCAAGGCGACGAUCCGUAGCUGGUCUGAGAGGAUGAUCAGCCACACUGGAACUGAGACACGGUACAGACUCCUACGGGAGGCAGCAGUGGGGAAUAUUGGACAAUGGGCGCAAGCCUGAUCCAGCCAUACCGCGUGGGUGAAGAAGGACUUCGGGUUGUAAAGCCCUUUUGUUGGGAAAGAAAAGCAGCAGGUUAAUACCCCGCUGUUCUGACGGUACCCAAAGAAUAAGCACCGGCUAACUUCGUG
rnacentral:rRNA from 1 species